CAAAAGCCUGGUCCUGACUUUACUAUCCGCCGUAACCAAGUUUAUACAUGCAAGAAUCCGCACCCCUGUGAGAAUGCCCCCAAACCCCGCCCGGAGACGGGGAGCAGGCAUCAGGCACACUCACCGUAGCCCAAGACGCCUUGUAUAGCCACACCCCCAAGGGAACUCAGCAGUAAUAAACAUUAGGCAAUGAGUGCAAACUUGACCUAACCCUGGUUAAGAGGGCCGGUAAAACUCGUGCCAGCCACCGCGGCCAUACGAGUGAGCCCAAGCGGACAGUCUGUCGGCGUAAAGCGUGGUUAGGGACAAACUACUUUACCACUAAAGCUAAACCCCAUCAAAGCCGUAAUACGCACCCGAUGAUGUGAGACCCAAUCACGAAAGUGGCUUUAAAUUAACCCGAACCCACGAGAGCCGAGAAACAAACUGGGAUUAGAUACCCCACUAUGCUCAGCCGUAAACAACGAUAGGUCUCUUACAACACCUAUUCGCCAGGGGACUACAAGCAUUAGCUUCAAACCCAAAGGACUUGGCGGUGCUUUAGACCCACCUAGAGGAGCCUGUCCUAGAACCGAUAACCCCCGUUCAACCUCACCACUUCUUGCCCAGCCCGCCUAUAUACCGCCGUCGUCAGCUUACCCUGUGAAGGACUUAUAGUAAGCUAAAUUGGCACAGCCCUAAACGUCAGGCCGAGGUGUAGCCUACGAAGUGCGCAAGAGAUGGGCUACAUUUUCUGACCCAGAAAACUACGAAAGAGAACCUGAAACAAGUCUCCGAAGGAGGAUUUAGCAGUAAGCAGGGAAUAGAGCGCCCUACUGAAACUGGCCCUUAAGCGCGUACACACCGCCCGUCACCCUCCCCAAAUUCGACAUGCAUAAAACAUAUUUCACCAACCGAAUAAAGGAGAGGCAAGUCGUAACAUGGUAAGUGUACCGGAAGGUGCACUUGGAUAACA
rnacentral:ncRNA from 1 species